rnacentral:rRNA from 1 species
GGGCCCGCACAAGCGGUGGAGUAUGUGGUUUAAUUCGAAGCAACGCGAAGAACCUUACCAGCCCUUGACAUCCUAGGACGGCUUCCAGAGAUGGAUUCCUUCCAGCAAUGGACCUAGAGACAGAUGCUGCAUGGCUGUCGUCAGCUCGUGUCGUGAGAUGUUGGGUUAAGUCCCGCAACGAGCGCAACCCUCGCCUUUAGUUGCCAGCACGUCAUGGUGGGCACUCUAAAGGGACUGCCGGUGAUAAGCCGGAGGAAGGUGGGGAUGACGUCAAGUCCUCAUGGCUCUUACGGGCUGGGCUACACACGUACUACAAUGGCGGUGACAGAGGGCAAAUCCCUAAAAGCCGUCUCAGUUCGGAUUGUGCUCUGCAACUCGAGUGCAUGAAGGUGGAAUCGCUAGUAAUCGCGGAUCAGCACGCCGCGGUGAAUACGUUCCCGGGCCUU